UUGAACAUGGGGGUUUUUGGGGUUCAUCUUUGGGGGAUGGGGGUGCUCAGGGAGGUCUGUCUAUCCCGGACAGAAGGGAACCCAUUAUUUUGCGUAUAGUGCCCAAAUCAAGUCUGGGUGUGCGUUCAUUUAGGGCGGGGUUAAACGAGUGAAUAGUGUCUGGCUCGGCGUAUAUGUCUGUGCGAGAAAGUGAUUUGCAUAUGCAGCCUAGCCUGACUGCACAUGUGUCAUCCAUCCUAAACAGAUGCGAAGACAUGUUGACACGGCCCCCCCGCCCAUCUCGAGGAAUACCACUACUGAAUAAACCCGAUCCAUCACGCUAAUAUCAGAGCCCCCUUGAAAUUCUGUGGGUUUCCCUCCUAGAAACAAACAUGGAUCAGUUUCUCAGAUGCUCAGUCUUAGAAUAAGGUGACGCAAAUCCACUGGGUCUGCACAAUAAGGGAAGCAAGGAUCUGCCCACAGCCAAUCACCUCUGAAUAACACAGGAAGUCAAGGAGUAGAGCGGCAUUGUUGACCCUUUAUGUGCCAGGGGUGAUUUGUCUGCCAUCUACUGAAUGUUGAGAACGUGGAAAAGAAAACACAGUAGCACAUAUGGCUGAGCAUUAUAGUGCUCUCUCUGAAAAAUGCUUGGAAAUUCUCACAUUUUAGCUCCUCAGUUCUAAGAAGUGUGAUUGUGAGAUUUUUUUAAAAGGAAAAAGACUAGGACCGUAUGAAUGGGUGUGUGUGUGAGUGUGUAUGUGAUUGUGCCCUGCGAUGGACUGGCACCCUGUCCAGGGUGUACCCCGCCUUGUGCCCGAUGCUUCCUGGGAUAGGCUCCAGGUUCCCGUGACCCUGAAGAAGGAGCAAGUGGUAGAAGAUGGAUGGAUGGAAGAUUAGGACCAGUCAAACACAGAUGCAACAAAGAAGCAAAUGCUCAAUUUUAGGCAUACAGUAUGUACACUUAAAGUGAACAAUCAACAUACACACAGAACUAGGUGCGCAUCUUACAAGCACAUUUCUCAGUUCAGGGGGUUUAGUAUGCUUGCGAAGCAGGGAUUGAUUGUAUUUUGAGGCGGCUCCUUGUGUAGAUUUUAGUUUAAGUCAUUACCAUGAAUUACGCACGUUCAAACAUCUUGAAACUCUCCUCUGGACCUGAUAUAGAGAUGCCAAUAACCACACAUCAGCUCUGUAUGACUUCCCACAAAAUAUUUUCAUGCACUCUCAAACCCAGAAAUCGAACAACCGACCUUCUCUCUAGUGGUAUACAUAUGCAAUAUUUGAACCAAUCAAUAAAAGGGGAUAGUCUCAGAAUAAACAAUGUAGUGGUUAGGAGUUGUUUGUGAUCGUGCGCACAGUGCGCCGUAAGAAUUCAAACAAGCCUACUUUUAAUAGAUACACUUACCUGAAUUUUACAAGUAGCGUUUGUAUUUUUGUUUUUGGUGGUGGUUUAUAUCAGUAGACAGUAAGAGAGAUGGUGAGUUUUGCUCUGUAUCAUAAUGACUCUCUUUGCUCACUGAACUGAAAGUAGCAAGUCUGGAUGGUGCAAAGCUGCACACACACACACAAAAAAAAAAUUCAUGUUUUCUCCCACUCGUUGUCUCAAAAUUAAGGAGCCAUUUCUGGCAAUGAGCUCUUGCCAUACUUCAUUGCAGACAUUAACGGUCCAUAAAGCAGCCGCGUAUGAGUUCAGUGGUAUUGCCACUAUUAAAGUUGAGAAUAUUAAUCUUAAAUUGAAAGAGGGGCUGGUAGACCAUAGACCAACAGAACCAGACAAUAGCAGUCUGACAAAACGCAAACAUAAAUAUUAAGUUCAAGACCAUUCUCAGUCUUCAUGAGUGCUUUUGGGGCCGUGGGAACGCAUGGAAAGUGCACGGGCUGCUUAUGGUGGCCUGAAUGCCUCUGCAGCAGGUGAAGAAUGACCGCAAAGGUCAAGGUCAAAGGGGGGGGGUCCUUGUCUGCUCGUCUCCGCUUCUGCACGGCUGGCCUGAUCUCUGCCUGUCUGGGACCAAAUGUAAAUGAGCCUGGCUGUUUAAUAAUCAGUCUGAGGCUAUAUUUGCUUAAGUUCUUACUUCUUUUAUGAUGCUGCUCUCAGACAGACAGAGCACAUGGUUGGGGGAACCCUCAUUUCACAUUCCCUACUAGAAAUAUCACAGAGAUAUAAUAUCAUGAAAGCAAGAUAUUUAAUCCAUCCCGUGCUCAAAGUGCAAACAUUUCCCAUGCUUACUGGCUCCCGUAAUUUGUCGACCGGUCCUCCUGUCUUUGCCUUCUCACAGUGGCAACCUGAUUGACACCCUUGCACUGGUGUUUUGUGUCUGGCAUUAGUUCCACAAUCAUUUAUUAGAAGCAUAUAGUCAUGUCAUAACGUCGAGAAUGAACACACAUACAUGGAACAGAACCACUGACAUUGUCCUGAUCGAAGCAGAAAUUCCCAUGAACAAUAAAACAAUGGGUAUUUAUUCAGAAACAAUGAGACGUGCAGCAGUAAUUUCACUGCACUGUCUGGUCACUUAUUGUGUGAUAUUUUCGGCAGUCUGAGAUUCUCCAGUGCUUAUUCAUUUGGUAUUGAACCGUCCCUCUCAGCAACUUUUUGACAGCCCACUGUCCCUGCAGUACUUUUAACUCAGAUAUGAAAGUAAGGAUUCGAUAACGGUUUUGAUAGGACACUCCAAAAGAGCAUAGCACUAUUUUGCCCACCCUUGAGAGCCUAACAUCACAUUCGGCAUCAGUAAAGCUCAAUGUGUGGCUUAUUUUAGAGAUAUUAAUGGAUUAAUGGAUAGCAAAUAUUUAAGAACAUUUUAUAUCAAUAUUAAAUAGCUAUUUCUUUGUCUGGACCAAAUUUAAACAAGAUGCAUAGGCAUGGUUUCUUUACAACAAAGAAAUACAAACCCAAGUGGGGUACCAAAUUAAUGGCUGUCUAGAAAUAAUCCACGCUGCUAUUGAAACAUGAGAAGACCCUUAACUGUAACUGCACUUGAUGUUAAACAGCAUGGCUGCCAUUACCCCUGUAAGAGGAGAGGCCAUUACCUCACCGAACACCGGCUGAGGAAGGAUGAGCAUGAAUGGGGCGAGUGGUCCGCUUGAACUUGCUGGUUUAGAUUCCUUUAUACCCACCACUUUAAGCUUCAUUUACUCAUCAGAAAAAAGAUCCCUCCUCCACCAACACCGCUUCAAUAGAUCUGUUCCUGCAUCAAACCCCCUUUCUCCUAUCCCUCCCCACCACCACCACCAACACCACACACCCCGUCGUUCUCCCUCUCGCUGUAGGUUUAAUCAUCUCAGCGCUCAGUGAAAUCAAGCUUAGUAAUGACACUUUUGUCGGCCUCUCACUUUCUCCCCCUCCUCAAACUUCUCCCCCUGCUUCUCCUUUUUCUCCCACCCACUGCUUAAAACCUUAUCCCAUGUCAACAAAAUGUCCGCUCAGCUGGGGCGCCACAAAAGCGGGCACGGUUUAACCUUCUACCUCCUGUCACUCAUUUGCUCUGUUCAUCUCUGUCUUGCUCUGUCCUAUAUCACUACUCCUAAAAUAUCCCAAAUAUGUCAUUGGAAUACAUGAAUAAUGUGCAGGUUUAUUCUGUGAGUAAAUAAUGUAACGUUAAAAAAUCCUUCCUUGUCCUGAGCUCAGUUUAAUCUGUGCCCACAAAUGACUAUAUAUUUGCACAGUACAAUUAUCCUUUCCAUGCAAACCAAAGGGAAAUCAUGUCAUCUUAAUAUUUUAAAAUACGAGAACAUUCAACACCAGAAAACCAGAACUGUCCUUUUUCCACUGGUCACCAGUCAAGUACACUCCUCAAGGAGGAGUGUACUUUCUAAAGCAGUUCUACAUCGAGCCUUUUUCUGAAAGGGAAACUCUCUGCUGUGAGGUUCUACAUAAAGCUCCUCCAGUCCCUUGUUAAUAAACAUUGUCAUUAGGUAUAAUUUUCCUCACCAAUUUGGAAUUGGCCAAUUCUGGCCCAGCAGCCAACUCUCCCCCAUUACUCUCUUGGACUCCCAGCCAUGGUUAGCUGUGGUAUCAUCAGGAUUCAAACUUUCGAACAUUGCGAUGAAAUGGCGAAUGCUUUUAUGUUGUGCCUCUCUGGAGCCCCUGAAGAACCCUUUAGGUGCUACAUGGAAUCUUUCUUUCUAAUAGUCUACUAAAUAUUCUCGUUAUGUAGUCCAGUUGGACUUAAUGGUCCUCAGGGGUGAAGCUAGCAGUACCACAUACAGUGCACUACACUCUUAUAAAAAAAAUAAAAAAAUGAAAGGUUCUAACUAGCACUGUUAAGCGUUCUUCAGUUUGUCCUACUGGGAGAACACAUAGGUUCUAUGUAAAACCCUAAACAGAGAACUGAGUUAAUUAAGAACUAAUCCAAGGGUGGCCCAAGGUGCGAUUUAACACCCAUUUUGGUGCACAUGAUCAUGACAAUGCAGUCUAGCUGUACUCUGAUAAUGCUGAUAAUGAUAAUACAGACUAGCUGUACUCUGAUAAUGCUGAUGAUGAUAAUGCAGACUAUCUGUACUCUGAAUUUGGCUGAACUAAACUAAAACAAAUGUUCCAUUGGCUUGUGUUUGUAUUCCUACUUGUUUAGAGUGUGCAGUGUAAAAAAACACUCUUGUUCAGCGCAUUAUGCCAAAGUCAAGGCCGUGAGCUUUAUUUUGAGUGUAAAUGCUGUGAUCAUGUUUUUCAGCCCAAAUUUAGCUUUUCACUCCUAACCAGAAAGUUUCAGCACAGCUCUACGUGGUUACAUCUGCUAAGUUGUGAUGAAUAAUAAGGUCCAGUGGUUUGCUCACUCAUCAUCCAUUUAUUUUUGGAAGCAGAGGGCAACCAGGUGAGGAGCAGUGUGUCUGUGCCACCUGCCUUUUCUGUUAGGCACGUGGACCGGACAGCUAUGGAGCGGGACCCAGGGGUCCUAAUUUCAGGAGUGGGAGGCGACAGAGUGAGUCCUUUUACUGAGCAAAGAUCAGUACAGGAACCCGAACAUACGUGUACGAGCAAAGCUCUACAGAAGAUGUUCAGAAUCACCUGCAUGUGAUCUCACCACUACACACACACACACACACACACACACACACACACACACACACACACACACGCACACACGCACACAUUGUACGCAGUGCACCAUUUGUACUAUCUCUCAUAUUUGCCCUGUGGGUCUCAUUUCAUGGCUUAGAAAAAAGAUAAUGAAAAGGCGUGUGAAAAACGCUCUAUUAAAGCUGUGCUUCAGAUCAGAGCGAGUGCUUAUUAUAGGUGUACAGGAAAGAGGACAGAGCAAAGAGUUCAGAGCGUGGCCUCUUUCCUCCAUCUCUGGGGUUUUCCACAGUCCUGCUGGGGCUUGGCUAGCCGGCUCACAAAGAUGGCCACCGUCAGCAGAAUCCCACCAGCCCACUUCACACCUACUGUAUGGUUCAGUUCUGAAUUUAGAAAAGAUCUCAUCCAGCUGCAGUGUGCACGUACAGACUGCAAGCUUCUAAUUGCUGUGUGAAGACAAAAAUUUAAUUAAGAGAAUAGGAAUUUGCUAGUGUGUUGUUUUGUUCAUGGAUUUUUAAAACCAUUUCUCAAUUGUUGGCUUGUUACAGUUACUGUACCAAAUUCAUACACAGUUUUGGUGAUAUCAGAUUUGUAUAAAAACUAAGGGUGAAAAAUGGUUGAAAAGGGAUUUUUAAAAACAUUUCAUAAAGACCCUUUUGAUUGCAGAAUCUUUAAACCUUUUUUUGUACCACAGUGAAAAAAACCCUGGAAAAUUCUGUUUAUUGUAGCGACAACAACAACAACAACAAAAAGCUUCAAAUUCAUGGAGCAAAAAAAAAAUACAAGCUUGUUUGGGAACUAAAUAUGUCUUCUUUGGCAUCACUCUAAAGAACCUUUUCGGCCACCUUUAUUUUUUACGAAUGUAUCAAACAUAUUUCAAGGCUUCCAAGUGGUCAAACAGAAAAGUGUCCAGAGAUUGUCAGCUUGAAUCCCAACGACGCUACGCCCGUCUGUGAUCGGGAAUCCAAGAGAGCAAAACUGGCUGUGUUCAGUGAUGUAAAAAAAAAUCCAGAGAGCCAUGUUCAUUCGCACAAUUUCAUUUUUGGUUUUGGUUUCGGGACUUUUUGUCACUUUCUGGUUGUUCGCUGCGAACUUUUUUUCAGGAGUUUUCAGUUACAAUUUGGGUACAAUAGCUAGCUUAGUGUAAUAUCACCAUAACUCUCAUUAGACUUUUCUUUGUAAAACCCGCCCACUCCAGAGGGUGUAGCUUAAAACUUAUGCAGCAAGAGUAAAAACAAGCAACGCCAGCAGUGAUUAAUCAGACCUGGAACUGGAUUAGUUUUAUAAAUAAAUAAAUAAAUAAAUAAGCAUGAAUUAAUGAUCAGUGAAUAAUCAUCAAAACCAGACGGCGGGUCAUUAUUUUCGAUACUUUCUUUUAGACAAUUUCAAUUAUUUAUUUUUAAAUACAUUACAAUUCUUUCUGUCUUCACACAAAUUCAAAUUCACACAAGUUGUAUAGAAAUGUAGCUAAGCGUCUGUUGGUUAAUAUAUUUAUCUAUUAGUAGGAGUGAUAUUCACUGUGAAAUCGAAACCACCUUGCCGCAAAUUAAUCAAGUAUGUCCGUACUACACACUGACGUCAUGCCUCAGCCUGGCUUUUUCAAGCAGCAUCCCCAAAUCCUUUCCAGCGAGUGUUAACUUUCUUUGUGCAGAGUUUUGGGAAGAAAGGAUUUCUGGGGUGUAACAGACAGGCAGUGACCCUUAGCCCCGGCUCUCCACGGGUUCCUGCUUCCCAUAGGCCUGGCCGCCAUUUCUGUCCUCUGGCACCCAUUCACAGCUCAGUCACGGCCUCUUAAAGCUGCCCACAAUCUCCUGAUUCAGCCGAGGCGUGAUCCAAUGACAUGGAUUUUUAAUGAGAGGCUACGUCUUUGUUGGAAACACACAAUAUCCAGGCGGAGGAGGGGGGUUCAGGAGAGGAACGGGACCGCAGACUAACACCCUCCUACAUGCACUGAACUUUCUCACUUUGUCCUCGUUUUUCUAGCACUUUUUCUCUCUGCCUCUCUUGGCUUCAUCAGUUGGCUGUGACUGGAGAACUAGAGGGAAAAAAAAAUCAUACAAUCCCAGAAUAGAGAAAAAAAAAAGAAAAAGCCCACAGUCAAAUUCUCUCCACUUUCUGCACUUCAGUGCUUCCCCUCACUUAGCAUGAUAAUGUCAUCAGAAAUCUGGGCCUCAAUGCAGUUGCCUUUGAACACGCAUAAUACGCGGAAUGUUCUUAUGUUGAACAUUUGUGUAUUUUUAAACCAAUCAGCAUCAUGCGGAGUGUUAAACACAGAGCACUCAUCAGACUCCUGAGAGCCGCUUAGUGCUCACAUCACCAUUUACACAGCGUUUAGUGCCGACGCAGACUAAAUUCAGUCUAGACAUUCAUUUCCAAAUCUUCACCCUAAAUACACCCCUCUCCACUUCAAACACACACUCACACAACCACAACCACCACUGCCCAAUGUGUCGGUCUUACCCUCACACACAUAAUUAAACUCUCGCACCCAGACACCCUUCCUCCCCUAUCACUCGUUCAAAUUGUAUUCCCCCACUUGGACCUAGACACCCUGGUACAUCUGCUAAAUCCCAAUGUCUCACCCCAUACACACACACACACACACACACACACACGCCUCUUAAUUGGAAAUAUACUAUAACAAAUGGCACCCCCUCCUGUCUGGCCUUGUUAUGGAUCCAGUACCCUGUAAUGUAAAGAUUUUAUGUAUAAUUAGUAUGUAUUAUGUAUGUAUUAUUGCAUUAUGUAUAAGUAGUAGGGUUUUUCGUAGGGUAGGGUUGGUGUCGUCUUGAAAACUUUCAUAAGAAACGGCUCGACUUGACUCAAAAAUCAUUACACAGUCCACAGGCAACUUUAUGUAACAAAUUAUAUGCAUAUGGGGGGGGGGGGGGGGGGGGGGGGGGGGGGGGGUAAUAAUGCAGCAUUAUUUAACACCCGAAACACUGAAACACACUGCAUACUAAGACAAAUGGAGGCACUCAAGUCAUUUGCAUUCAUUUCACAGACUCCAAAAAGCGCACCAUUUUUCUUAGGUCAGUGUCGGAAAAGCGUUCGUUAGCAGUCAAGCAGCGAAAAAUGUGUGUGAAGGAUUAAAAAUGUUUAUUGUAUACAUUAAAGGAAUGAAACAUUAAUCAUCUCUGGCUACUAUACAGUUAAACAGUGUGAUUACUACAGCCAACAGUGUGUAUGUGUGAGUGCGUGUAUCAGAGUGGGUAUCAGGAUCAUAGUUGUAGCUGAACUUCAUUUGAUGAACAAAAAUCAGGAAGUAGCCUUUCAGUGAGGUAUUACUUCUUAUUUCAUAGAAAUAUUUUAUAUAUAUGAGAACAUGUACCACUUAUAUCACAAAGUAAGCAGACAUUUUGAUUAAUAGUAUCUCAAUAUUUGAAUUUCUUCAGCUGAUAACGUGGCUUAAGUCAUAUAUAUAAAUAUAUAAAUAUAUACAUAUGAUAUAUGAAGGACAAAAAAACAAAUCACUGUGUCUCAACUGUGCGUGUGUGUGUGUGUGUGUGUGUGUGUGUGUGUGUGUGUGUGUGCGUGUGCGUGUGUCUGUCUGUCUGUCUGUCUGUCUACUCUUGUUGUCCCAGAGGCCAUGUUAUGUUUUCUCCCAAAGGGCUUCCUUCAUCCCCAACACACACACACACACAGACGCACACAGACAGACACACUUCCCAGAACAAGAGGUCACGUCGAGGAUCCAGACAGAGUGUGUUUGUGUGUGUGUGGGACCAGACAGUCUGUGUGGUGACCUGUGUCUUUAGACAGGCUCAGAGGUCACCAUGUUCUGUGUGUGUGUGUAGAGUUUUAGACAUCAUAUUUUUUGGCCUUUCCCCUCUCCAUCCUCCUGUACAGCAGUGUUUUAAACACCAGAGAGACUCAUUUAGCUCAGACUUGUAUUCCACACCUAGUAAAAAGCACUAACAUUCUCUCUGAAACCCGAAUUCAAAAAUUUAAUGACGACGCUCGCGAUUCAGUGUAAUUUAGUCGCAAUGCUUUGAAGCAUUUUUAUAAACGUGAAUAAUGCCUCCAGUUCAACAUCCAAUAAAGCGCUAUCUAAUUAAAUCCUUGAUGACUUCUAACAUGAUGUAACCUAAGUGUAACUAUUCAUCAUAACACAUACAAAAAUGUAAUAUACUGAAAUUAUAAUGUAUUCCGGUCAUAUUUUGGAGUGCAUUAACAAGAGUCUAUUUUCACAAGCGCGUCAGACUGCGUUUAUUUGCGGUUUAGUUUUCGUUCUUUUUUUUAUUAUCUGCAUUUAUAUGUUGUUAAAAAGGAGACAAAGAGCAAGGAAGUCUGCAUACUAAACACUUACAAAAUGGAGGUCUGGGUUGUAUGUAGUAGUCUUAUAUAUAUAUAUAUAUAUAUAUAUAUAGUAUGUGAAGGAAGUAUUCUUCUCUUUCAGCAUUUUUUGUCAUUUUGAAAUACAUCAACCAAUUAUACAAUAUCGUUGUACUUAUUAUGGCCUGUUACAUAACAUUUGAAUGAUACACAUGCAUUUAACUGAACUGUGAGUGAAUAAAGUUUUACUGGUUGUUAUUAUUACAUCUGAAAUAUAUUUUUUUAAAACCUGUUCUUUCUUUUAUAUUAAAUGAUAAUAGGUGCAUCAGUCAGUCUGAUUGUACACACAUACAGUAUUUAUGAUAAUGAUAGUGAUAUUUUCUCCUUAUUGGAUUGUUUUGCUCUUUACACACAGAUCGUUUUCCCGAGCGAUACAGACCAGGACAAGUGUGUCCCAACAGGCGCGUGUGAUGAGACAGACCGCACUAUAGUGAAGACAGUGAUGUUCAGCUGCUCUCAUUCUGCUUGAACACAGUGAGAGGAAAACACCUAUAAGAAUAUCACCAUGGGACUCGAGAGAUUUUUGUGAAGUACAAAAUGAGUUUCUGCUGAACUUACCUUUGCUCUCGGGCCUCUUUUGAUUAAUAACAUGGACAUUUCAUCAUGGCAUUUUUGGUCUCCGGGUUAUUCCAGAACACUGGACUAGAUACACGAGGUAAGUAGAUAAAAAAUAUAAGCGGUAAUAUGCCUUAUUGAAAAAGAAUCUAUGCAUAUGCAUAUUUCAUAGAUGUUUAAAUUUUAUUUAUGUAUAAUAUAGCACUAAAUUAACAAUUGACUUAUGUGUGUACUUCUAUACACUUUUAUGUUGCAUACCUACAUCACAAUUAAAAAUAUAUACUUUCUAAAGUCAUGCUAAUUUUAUGCCAUUUCCAAUAAAGUUUUCAAAUUCCACCAUGUCUCACAGUGUCUCUUUAUUUCAUCAUAGAUCAGUCUUAACAAAAUGAUGUGCAUGCUAAAGGUUAGUACAUUACGAUUAUGAUUAUUCCAGCCCGAGUGUGAAUGAGACUGGAAUUAAAUAAAUAUACAUCAGCUUGUACAGUUGCAAUCAAAAUGAUCCAGCCCCCAUUGCAAAUCGGGUUUAUUGUCAAAAUCAUUUGUGAUGAACAAAUCAAACAAAAGCAAUAGAAAUAGUUCAAUACAACGAACGCUUCAAGUGGUUUCUCCCAUUUCAGCUGAAAAUGCAACUUAUAAUGAUUUCUCCAGUCUCGAAAUUAUUCAACCAGUUCAUGGCAAGCGUCUUUAGUACUUAGUAGACACCCUUUUGCUGUUAUGACCUGUUGCAAACGAGAUGCUUAGCUUCUGACAGUGUUCCUGAGGAAUCUUAGCCCAUUCCUCAUUAGCAAUGGCCUCCAGUUCAGUAAUAUUCUUGGGUUUGCGUGCUGCAACCGCCGCCUUCAAAUCCCACCAGAGAUUUUCCAUGGGGUUCGAGUCAGGUGACUGUGAUGGCCCUGUAGAAUCUUCCAGGACUUCUUCUGCAACCAAGUCUUGGUGGAAUUUGAGGUAUGCUUGGGAUCAUUGUCCUGUUGGAAGGUCCAAUGACACCCAAGCUUCACCUUCCUCACAGAUGGCAUGACGUUUUCUCCUAGGAUUUCCUGAUACUUCAAUGAAUCCAUCUUGCCUUCCACACGCUGCAGAUUUCCAGUGCCAGAGGAUGCAAAGCAGCCCCAGAGCAUCACCGAGCCACCACCAUGCUUGACUGUGGACAGAGUGUUCUUUCUUCAUUCUUCUUCCUCCAGACAUACCGCUGAUCCAGUUCCAGUUUCAUUUCAUUGCUCCACAGAACAGAAUCCCAAAACUUCUGCAGUUUAUUUAUAUGAUUUUGAGACUUUUCUUGUGCUUUUGGGUCAGUAAUGGCGUACGUCUUGGAGUUCUGGCAUGGAAACCAUCCAUCCAUCCAUCCAUCUUCUAUACCACUUAUCCCUUUUUUCAGGGUCACAGGGAACCUUGAGCCUAUCCCAGGGAGCAUGGGACACAAGGCGGGGUACACCCUGGAUAGGGUGCCAAUCCAUCGCAGCUCACAGGCAUGGAAACCUUCUGCAUUUAAUACGUGCCUUACUGUGCUCACUGAAACCUCAGUGUCUGUUGCCACCAAGUCCCACUGCAGGUCUUUUGCAGUCACUCGAGGGUUUUUCACAACCUGCCUUCUCAGAAAUCUGCUCGCAGCCGUCGAUAGCUUCCUUUUUCUACCCCUGCCCUUGGUCAGUUCAGGUAUUUCAUGUGUUCCAGCUCAAGCACACCUGGUGCAAUUAAUGAAGCCGUUGAUUGGUUACAUCAGGUGUGCUUGAGAACACACCUGUUUUGCAUAUUGGUGCUGUUGUGAGGGAUUCUAUUCAGGGGGGUGAAUCAUUUUGAAACUGGAGAAAUCAUUAUAAGCUGCAUUUUCAGUUGAAUUUGGGGAAACCACUUGAAGCAUUCGUUGUGUUGAACUAUUGCGAUUGCUUUUGUUGGAUUUGUUCAUUGCAAACUGCUGAAAGUCUGUACAUUCUGACAAUAAACCUGAUUUGCAAUGCAGGUUGAAUAAUUUUGAUUGCAACUGUAUGAGUCAUGUAAAUUACUAAUAGUGAGUGUGUGCGUGUUUAUGAGUGAGACAGAGAGAGAGAGAGAGAGAGAGAGAGAGAGAGAGAGAGAGAGAUGCAUAUCCAUUGAAUAAUACUUAUUCAGCCUCUCUGCUCUCCUCUUGGGUGGGCUACUUAGAGUGCACUGAACUGAUGGAGUGGGGUGAGAACCGGCAUGUGGACUUAAA
ensembl:lncRNA